CAGCCGCCGCGGUAAUACGUAGGUGGCAAGCGUUGUCCGGAAUUAUUGGGCGUAAAGCGAGCGCAGGCGGUUAGAUAAGUCUGAAGUUAAAGGCUGUGGCUUAACCAUAGUACGCUUUGGAAACUGUUUAACUUGAGUGCAAGAGGGGAGAGUGGAAUUCCAUGUGUAGCGGUGAAAUGCGUAGAUAUAUGGAGGAACACCGGUGGCGAAAGCGGCUCUCUGGCUUGUAACUGACGCUGAGGCUCGAAAGCGUGGGGAGCAGACAGGAUUAGAUACCCCGGUAGUCCCUGUCUCUUAUACA
rnacentral:rRNA from 1 species